GACGAACGCUGGCGGCGUGCCUAAUACAUGCAAGUCGAACGCAGUGGGGACGGGUGAGUAACACGUGGGUAACCUCCCAUCAGAGGGGAUAACACUUGGAAACAGGUGCUAAACCGAUACUGAUGGAUGGACCCGCGGUGCAUUAGCUAGUGGGUGAGGUAACGGCUCACCAAGGCCACGAUGCAUAGCCGAACGGAGAGGGGGAUCGGCCACACUGGGACUGAGAAACGGCCCAGACUCCUACGGGAGGCAGCAGUAGGGCAUCUGCGGCAACGGACGAAAGUCUGAACGAGCGACGCCGCGUGAGUUAAGAAGGUUUUAGGAUCGCAAAACACUGUUGUUAGAGAAGCGGUAUCUAACCAGAAAGCCACUGCUAACUACGUGCCAGCAGCCGCGGUAAUAC
rnacentral:rRNA from 1 species